UCAGCCCCUCUUUCUCUCUCCCUUUCUUCCUUCUUCUUCUUCCUUCUUCCCUCCCUCCCUCCCUUCUUGUCUUCCUUCCUUCCUCCCUUCCGACAGAGUCUUGCUCUAUUGUCCAGGCUGGAGUACAGUGGCAUGAUCUUGGCUCACUGCAACCUCCAUCUCCCGAUUCAAGCAAUUCUCCUGCCUCUGCCUCCCAAGUAGCUGGGAUUACAGGCACACACCACCACACCCAGCUAAUUUUUGUAUUUUUAGUAGAGACGGGGUUUUACCAUGUUGGCCAGGGUGGUCUCAAACUCCUGACUUCAACUGAUCUGCCCACCUAGGCCUCCCAAAGUGCCAGGAUGACAAGCAUGAGCCACUGCGCCUGGCAGUGCUUCAAUUUCUGAUGCUCUUCCAAUAUGAUGUUACACGAAGGACCAGCCUGGCGUUGGUGGUGGUAACCCAAGGGAGGAGGAGCAAGCCAGAUGCAAGGGCAGUGGACUAAUGUGGUCGUUUCCCUCCCCAGGCCUUGGGACCUUUAUGUAAACCUGGUUCUUACUGGACAGACCUAGGAUUUGUCUAGCUGGAAGGGCCUUCCAAAGUUGCUGUCUCUACUCUUCUAGUUUUACACAGGACAAAGCUAAAGCCCAGAGGGUGAAUGACUUCUUUGAAGCUGGCUGAGGCCAAAAUUGAAACUAGAACUUUAUCUUUUAGAAGGAAAAUGUAUGCAGGACAAUUUUCUUUUCCUUCCUUCCUUCCUCUCCCCCUCCUUCCCUUCCUUGGUAAAUAUUCUUUACAUUUUAUUACCCUUUUAUUUUUCAGAAUAAAUCCUACUCCAGCUUACAAGUCUAUUUUGCUCUUGUCUGGAGAACACGGUUGUGGGAAGUCCACUCUGAUUGCCAACUGGGUUAAUUACUUCAAAAAGAAACAUCCGAGCAUGUUGUUGAUUCCUCAUUUUGUGGGCAGCACCUGUGAAAGCAGCUACAUCAUGUCUGUGAUCCAUGACUUCAUCACGGAAUUACAGUACAGAAACUACGGACUGGACAGCUGGGUGGCCGACACUCUGUGCUUACUGUGCCUGUCGCAUGGUGGCUUGGCUGAGGAUGAGCUACUCCAGCUUUUGGACAUGCUGGGCUACAGGAAUCAUUACAAAGUGACCGCCUUGCACUGGGCUGCCUUCCGCAAUGCCACCAAACAGUGGGUCCAGGAGAAGCCCAAUGGCCUCCUGUAUUUCUGGCACCAGUCCCUGCGAAGUGCAGUGGAGCACAAGCUUCUUGGUGUAAUCACUCCUGUCAGAGAAAGCAGUCCAUGUUCAUUUCAGAGCCCAAUGAACCACAAGAAAACACAUUUUCACCAAGUGUUGAUCAGAUACUUCCAGCGGCAAACCUCUUUCUGGACAGUGUAUCAAGAAUUACCAUGGCAUAUGAAAAUGAGUGGAUGCUUGCGGGGGUUGUGCGGCUUUCUCUCAAGCCCUAGGUAA
ensembl:lincRNA